UACGGGGGGAGCAAGCGUUGUUCGGAUUUACUGGGCGUAAAGGGCGCGUAGGCGGCCACCGCAAGUCGACUGUGAAAUCUCCGGGCUUAACCCGGAAAGGUCAGCCGAUACUGCGGGGCUAGAGUGCAGAAGGGGCAACUGGAAUUCUCGGUGUAGCGGUGAAAUGACGUAGAUAUCGAGAGGAACACCUGCGGCGAAGGCGGGUUGCUGGGCUGACCCUGACACUGAGGCGCGAAGGCGUGGGGAGCGAACGGG
rnacentral:rRNA from 1 species